AGGGGAUUUUUAAGGCCAUUUGUAUUUAAAAAAAAAUGUAAGAAAGAACAAGUAAGAUGUGGUUAUGUCGAGCCACCUUCCUGGGGUGAAAACGAAGCCUGCUGCUAAUGGAGCCCAGAGUCUUAUAUUUCAUCCCAUGUAUAAAAUAAGACAGACACUGUUGGCUCUGACAGGCAUCUUGGGCCUUUUUUUUUUUUUUUUCUAGUCUAGGUCUCCAGAGAGCUCAAAGAAAUGAUGCUGUUUCCAGAUGAAGUGCGGAUGGAUUACACUCUGUUACGUCUGCGGCUUUCAGCUCCAGAGGCUCUAGCUAGGAGAGAGAAAGCUGCUACUUUAAGAACAUUUGCAUCACUGGGCUAACCCUUCGCUGUGGGUGUUUCUUCCACAGCAAAACACCAUCCAACCAACUUUCCAAAGAGCCCUGAAGUUUCCAUUUCACCAAGGAGUCUCCAAGGAAGAACCUGGAACUAAACCUGAGGGAGCCUCUGUGGAAUAAGAGAGUUACAGAAAAUAGCUUUUCCAUGAGCUGGGGCAGGCAUAUAGAGUAUAUACAGCUCUACACCAUGACCGCAGCAACUCUUAUAAAGGAAAACAUUUAAUCGGAG